GCUGGGCAUGGUGGCGUGUGCCUGUAGUCCCCGCUACUGGGAGGCUGAGGUGAGAGGAUCACUUGACCCCAGGAGGUUGAGACUGCAGUGAGCCAAGAUUGCACCACUGCACUCUAGCCUGGGCAGCAGAGUGAGACCCUGUCUCUG
rnacentral:sRNA from 1 species